CGUUCCCGGGCCUUGUACACACCGCCCGUCACACCAUGGAAGCCGGUAACACCCGAAGCCGGUGGCCUAACCCGCAAGGGAGGGAGCCGUCGAAGGUGGGAUUGGUGACUGGGGUG
rnacentral:rRNA from 1 species